UCUGUUGAAUUAAAAUAACAGAUCCAUCCUGCCCAGUGAAUUUUUAACGGCCGCGGUAUCCUGACCGUGCAAAGGUAGCAUAAUCAUUUGCCUUUUAAUUGGAGGCUAGAAUGAACGGACAAACGAAGUUUUACCUGUCUCUUUUAGGCCAAUAAAAAUUAAUUUCUAGGUGAAGAAACCUAGAUUUCAUAAAAAGACAAGAAGACCCUUUUGAGUUUUACCUUAAGUGCUUCCAUUUAUGCCUUAAUGUUUGGUUGGGGCGACCAAGGAAUAAUUAAGUCUUCCUUUAUUACUCUGACUUAACAGUCUAAUAUAUUGACCCUUUACUGAUCUACUGAAUUAACUACCAUAGGGAUAACAGGCUUAUUUUCUCGGAGAGUCCAUAUUAAUGAGAAAGUUUGGCACCUCGAUGUUGGCUUAGGGAAACCUCUAAAUGCAGAAGUUUAGAAAAGUUAGUUUGUUCAACUAUUAAUUCCCUACGUGAU
rnacentral:rRNA from 1 species